rnacentral:rRNA from 1 species
GACGAACCGAGCGAACGUUAUUCGGAAUCACUGGGCUUAAAGGGCGCGUAGGCGGGCCAUCAAGUCAGGGGUGAAAGCCCCCAGCUCAACUGGGGAAGUGCCUUUGAUACUGAUGGCCUCGAGGGAGGUAGGGGCGUGCGGAACUUCCGGUGGAGCGGUGAAAUGCGUAGAUAUCGGAAGGAACACCGGUGGCGAAAGCGGUGCGCUGGACCUCUUCUGACGCUGAGGCGCGAAAGCCAGGGGAGCAAACGGG